rnacentral:pre_miRNA from 1 species
AUUUGUGUGUGGAUAGUGUUCAGCACCAAGGACAGGUAUGUUUGUGUGUGGAUGGUAUUCAGUAAAAGGACAGCACUGUUUGCCU